UCCACUCUUUUCUCAAGUCUAAAUCUAUUCAAUACUGCCAAAAAUACGUAAAGUUACAACGAUGUACCCAGAGGGGAAAAAAGCAAACUGAGGAUACUACAGUUGGACAACUGCAGCAAGCUCUGAUGCCAUCAUCGAACUUUUGGAGACCAAAUGAAUCUUAGCCAUCUAUUCAUUGCCAAAGACAGUUCUAUGAAGACACUGUACCUCUAGAAAGAAGCCUGUGAGGAAUGGUGGUAUCAUCCAAAGCACCUAAAAGUAGUAGUGAAGGAUGGACAUACCAGUAUACUUCUGCACAUGAGGAAAAGUUUUAUUUCAUAAGGUAC